rnacentral:rRNA from 1 species
UAGGGAAUUUUCGUCACUGGGGGGAACCCUGAACGAGCAAUGCCGCGUGAGUGAGGAAGGUCUUCGGAUCGUAAAGCUCUGUUGUAAGAGAAAAACGACAUUCAUAGGGAAUGAUGAGUGAGUGAUGGUAUCUUACCAGAAAGUCACGGCUAACUACGUGCCAGCAGCCGCGGUAAUACGUAGGUGGCGAGCGUUAUCCGGAAUGAUUGGGCGUAAAGGGUGCGUAGGUGGCAGAACAAGUCUGGAGUAAAAGGUAUGGGCUCAACCCGUACUGGCUCUGGAAACUGUUCAGCUAGAGAACAGAAGAGGACGGCGGAACUCCAUGUGUAGAGGUAAAAUGCGUAGAUAUAUGGAAGAACACCGGGGGCGAAGGCGGCCGUCUGGUCUGUUGCUGACACUGAAGCAAGAAAGCGUGGGGGGAAAAUA